CAUAAUUACACUUUUAUAUCUGCAUAUAAUGUACAUAUAUGUAGAUUAAAAUGCAUAGGUUAUACUAUAUAACAAACAAACAAAUUAAAUGCUUUUAAUAUAGUGACAUAAAUUAAUAAUUAUUUAUUAAUAGACAUUUAAUUAGGAAAUAAAAAUAAAUAAUGUAAAAAUUCACAUUUUAAUAAAGUAAAAUGUGUGACAUAUAGCACUAAUCUCUCUAAUACCAUGAAGGAUUGACAAAAAAAAAAAAACUACUAGAGAAAAUGUUUUUGUGCUCACAAAAUGUUAUUAGUCCUUGUGACAACUAGUCCCAGGCGCCCUUUACUUCUAAAAAAGCCCCAAAGCUUGAAUAGGAUGUAUUUAUUCAAUUUAGUUCACCUUACAUUGCAAUGAUACUGUAUACAGCUUGUAUUCUUGCUAUUUCUAGACAAGCAACAACUGUUAUUUACCCAUAGCUGCUGCUCUGUGAUGUCUGAAGCACUGGAGUGGUGCAUCGUGGGAUUGUGGGGGUGGUAGGUAUCAGUCCCCUGUAGAGCGUUUGAUUUCGUCUCUUCCUCCACAGUAGAUACACUGAUAGGCCAAACAGCAACAGGAACAGAAAUGCUGCAGACAGUCCACAUGCCAGUGCUACAAGUGGAUCUAAAGGCACAGUCACCCUUCCCUCUCACUCAGUGUAUCAUACAACCGAGAACAUGGCUUUGCAUUAACUAAAUAUGCUGUGUGACACCAUUGGACAGUCUCUUUCUCUCAUGCCUUUUAAAUAAAUGUGUCAAGUGUCUUGUGUCAACACGCUUUAGUGGAGACCUGCAUGCAAGAGGUGGAGCACAUUGCAUUUUGCUGCUCAAGAAACACUGUAUUUCUAUCUAGAGCAACAACCUGUUUUAUACUUUACUGUAGGGGAUUUACUGCAGCCACCUGGAGGGUGAACCAGAACUUCCUAACAGGUAGAGUAAGUGUGAAUCACCGGUUUCUCAUUUUGCCUAGAGGCUCAGUCUCAUAGGCGCUCUUCCUAUGUCUCACUGAGAGUAAGCUUUGUCUUCUGAUAGCCUGGUCACCCUACGGCGGGGUACUACAGUCCCCCUGAGGCUUCCCAGGACAGUUAAUCAACACCGAACACUGGCUUAAGCAGGUGAGGGAUAUGAGCUCUGCCACUUGCAGUAUUUAUUUCCAAACAGACACAAAACCUUGAUGCAGUCCAGCAGUGAGCAUACAAACUGUGACUAUUUACAGGCAAUUAGCAAGCUAAAAUGACUUCCAAAUAAAAGUGGCAAUUGCUGAAAGCUAUUCUGAAAUAUUUAAUUGAACAAUGUAUGUGACUUCUGUAAUAUGAUCUGUAAUAUGAUUUGAUCAGUGAAUCAGCCAACACAGGGCUCAUAGACUGUUAUGGUGAAUGUUAUGGUGUCUGCAACUGCCUAGUUUGCAUUCACUAAGCGUUAAUAAAUAACUCUUGAAGAACGAGGUAAGUUCAUCAAGGUUGCAAACAAGCAACACGUCUGCUGUUCCCACAAUACCUCUAAAUGUGGUUAACUUGCAUGGGGUUUCAAGACAAUUGAUUGCAAUAAAAACAAUUAUUUACUCUAAACCGGGGUGGCCAAACUCGAUCCCGGAGGGCCGGUGCCCUGCAGAGUUUAGAUCCAUCCCCAAGUAGACACACCUGAACCAGCUAAUCAAGCUCUGUUGAGACAGGCUGGAGCUAAACCCUGCAGGACAUCGGCCCUCCAGGACCGAGUUUGGGCACCCCUGCUCUACACUCAUCUCAAAUACUAUAUGAAGUAGCAGAAACCUAACUGAAUUGAGUAAGGUCCAAUAAAAUUUGAUGUGUCAAAGUAAUUAAUGUUGGAUCUUGGCUGGCAAGAGCUAGCUAGCAACAGUGCAUGUUAGCACCAAAAAUGUUAAUGUAGUCUCAAAACAAAUGGAUUUAGUGAGCUGUAUUUUAGAAAAAAUGUUUACGAAUUAUGCCCAACUAAUUUUCAGUGAACUGAAAAGUCAGCAAAAAACUUUUUAUAUAUAUUAGACCAUAUGUGACCAUGGACCACAAAACCAGUCAUAAGGGUCAAUUUUUCAAAAGUGAGAUGUAUACAUCAUCUGAAAUUUGAAUAAAUAAGUUUUCCAUUGAUGUAUGGUUUGUUAGAAUAGGACAAUAUUUGGCUGAGAUACAGCUAUUUGAAAAUCUGUAAUCUGAGGGUGCAAAAGAAUAAAAAUAUUGAGAAAAUCACUUUUAAAGUUGUUCAAAUGAAGUUCUUAGCAAUGCAUAUUACUAAUCAAAAAUUAAGUUUUAAUAUAUUUACAGUAGGAAAUUUACAAAAUAUCUUCAUGGAACAUGAUCUUUACUUAAUAUCCUUAUGAUAUCCUUAUGAUUUUUGGCAUAAAAGAAAAAUCAAUCAUUUAGAUCCAUACAAUGUAUUUUUGGCUAUUGCUACAAAUUUACCCCAGCGACUUAAGAAUGGUUUUGUGGUCCAGGGUCACAUAUAUAGUAUGCAUAAUAUUUCCAGUAUUAUAUUUAAUAAUAAAACACAUUUUUCUUUAAGCAAUCAUCUUAUAUCAUGCACUGAAAAUGAACAAUUUAAAGGUAUAGUUAACCCCAAAAUUUUGUCAUAAUUGACCCUCCACAAAGACCCGCCCCCUUACUGUUAAUGGCAAUAUGCCAACAAGACAAAGCAGGUUACUUUUGGUAUGAAACAAUGAUUUAAAUUUUGUCAUUUUUUUUAAAGAAAUUCAAACAAUAAAUCCAUUUUGUGGCUCUGUGUCGUGACAGAUCACGGUAGUGCCUCAGUUCAAGCGGCAUGUGAACCGAUCAUCUCUUCCUCUUUACUAGUUAUAGCACGAAAUAAGCAUGAAUGAACAUCAGAAGGUAUCUUGUUUCAACCACGGAAAGACGUCAAUACACACCAUUCUUCAAGUACAAGUCCACCAACGUUAAUCUCGUUAAUACUCUCCUGUCUGGUUUGUCGGACAAAAUGGCAGAUUCAGUGUUAUGAUUGGUCAGUUCGCCUGUCAAUCAAAAUCCUUGCAAAGGGUGAAUUGACUUACUUUCAUGACAUUCCACACCCGUGUGACUACUUUCUCUGUGAAAACACACACAUACACACACAAAACUGAUUUUUUUUUUUUUUUUGAACAUAUACUUAAAGUAAUUGGGAACCCCAGCAUUCUUCAAAAUAUUUUAUUCUGUGUUCUGCAGAAAAAAAGAAAGUCAUACAGGUUUGAACCAACAUGAGUUAAUGAUAACAGAAUUUUCAUUUUUGGGUGAACUAUCACUUUAAGUUGACUUCAAGGAGUCUAUAAUAUAACAUUCAAUUAAGGUUGGGCAUAAGGGUUUAUAAUUCCAGUGGAAAUA
ensembl:lncRNA